GUACACUCCUGCGGGAGGCAGCAGUGGGGAAUUUUGGACAAUGGGCGAAAGCCUGAUCCAGCAAUGCCGCGUGUGUGAAGAAGGCCUUCGGGUUGUAAAGCACUUUUGUCCGGAAAGAAAUCCUUGGCUCUAAUACAGUCGGGGGAUGACGGUACCGGAAGAAUAAGCACCGGCUAACUACGUGCCAGCAGCCGCGGUAAUACGUAGGGUGCGAGCGUUAAUCGGAAUUACUGGGCGUAAAGCGUGCGCAGGCGGUUUGCUAAGACCGAUGUGAAAUCCCCGGGCUCAACCUGGGAACUGCAUUGGUGACUGGCAGGCUAGAGUAUGGCAGAGGGGGGUAGAAUUCCACGUGUAGCAGUGAAAUGCGUAGAGAUGUGGAGGAAUACCGAUGGCGAAGGCAGCCCCCUGGGCCAAUACUGACGCUCAUGCACGAAAGCGUGGGGAGCAAACAGGAUUAGAAACCCUAGUAGUCCCAUG
rnacentral:rRNA from 1 species